rnacentral:rRNA from 1 species
AUUGAACGCUGGCGGCAUGCUUUACACAUGCAAGUCGAACGGUAACAGGCCGCCAGGUGCUGACGAGUGGCGAACGGGUGAGUAAUGCAUCGGAACGUGCCCAGUCGUGGGGGAUAACUACUCGAAAGAGUAGCUAAUACCGCAUACGAUCUAUGGAUGAAAGCGGGGGACCGUAAGGCCUCGCGCGAUUGGAGCGGCCGAUGUCAGAUUAGGUAGUUGGUGGGGUAAAGGCUCACCAAGCCAACGAUCUGUAGCUGGUCUGAGAGGACAACCAGCCGCACUGGGACUGAGACACGGCCCAGACUCCUACGGGAGGCAGCAGUGGGGAAUUUUGGACAAUGGGCGCAAGCCUGAUCCAGCAAUGCCGCGUGCAGGAAGAAGGCCUUCGGGUUGUAAACUGCUUUUGUACGGAACGAAACGGCUCUGGUUAAUACCCGGGGAUAAUGACGGUACCGUAAGAAUAAGCACCGGCUAACUACGUG